AUUGAACGCUAGCGGGAUGCCUUACACAUGCAAGUCGAACGGCAGCACGGACUUCGGUCUGGUGGCGAGUGGCGAACGGGUGAGUAAUGUAUCGGAACGUGCCCAGUAGCGGGGGAUAACUACGCGAAAGCGUAGCUAAUACCGCAUACGCCCUACGGGGGAAAGCAGGGGAUCGCAAGACCUUGCACUAUUGGAGCGGCCGAUAUCGGAUUAGCUAGUUGGUGGGGUAACGGCUCACCAAGGCGACGAUCCGUAGCUGGUUUGAGAGGACGACCAGCCACACUAGGACUGAGACACGGCCCAGACUCCUACGGGAGGCAGCAGUGGGGAAUUUUGGACAAUGGGGGAAACCCUGAUCCAGCCAUCCCGCGUGUGCGAUGAAGGCCUUCGGGUUGUAAAGCACUUUUGGCAGGAAAGAAACGUCGCGGGUUAAUACCUCGCGAAACUGACGGUACCUGCAGAAUAAGCACCGGCUAACUACGUG
rnacentral:rRNA from 1 species